rnacentral:rRNA from 1 species
UGCCAGACUCCUACGGGAGGCAGCAGUGAGGAAUAUUGGUCAAUGGGCUUACGCCUGAACCAGCCAAGUCGCGUGAGGGAAGACUGCCCUAUGGGUUGUAAACCUCUUUUGUCAGGGAGCAACGCCGGCUACGUGUAGCCGGACUGAGAGUACCUGAAGAAAAAGCAUCGGCUAACUCCGUGCCAGCAGCCGCGGUAAUACGGAGGAUGCGAGCGUUAUCCGGAUUUAUUGGGUUUAAAGGGUGCGUAGGCGGAAUAUCAAGUCAGCGGUAAAAAUUCGGGGCUCAACCCCGUCGUGCCGUUGAAACUGAUGUUCUUGAGUUGGAGAGAAGUACGCGGAAUGCGCGGUGUAGCGGUGAAAUGCUUAGAUAUCGCGCAGAACCCCGAUUGCGAAGGCAGCGUACCGGCUCCACACUGACGCUGAGGCACGAAAGCGUGGGGAUCGAACAGGAUUAGAUACCCGAGUAGGA